GCGGGAGGCGGUAGAGAGCGUCUAGGCCUGCGACGGGCGUGGCCGAGGAUGAAAGGCGCGUGGGGGGGACCCCGGGGCCGCAUAAUUACCGCCUCCUCCUAGCCAGGCGGGGGCCGGGACCGUGCACCUGGCGGCCGCCCCGCGGGGGCGCAGAAAUAGGACCGUCCUGGCAGAGGCUGCAGCCGACCCAGCUGGCCCCACUACGCGGGGCCCAGAGCCAGGGUGGGGGAUGCAGAGACCGGGCGUGCGGGUUGCCAGGUGUGGCGCACAUGUGUGCCCGUGGGCAGAGUACAGAGACACAAGCUUGUGUGGACACGAAUGUGUAGCUAUGUGCGAGUGCACACGGCGUGGUGAGUGCAGGGACCCCAGGCCGGCCUGCGUCGGUGCGCAGGGCAUAUAGGGGCGUGCACGCAGUCUUGGAGGUGUGUGCACAGAGCCCCCGGCACCCGCGUGUGUGCAAAGACACAGGAACCCGUCUGCGUGGCGCUGUGUGUGCAACCCAAGGAGGUGGGCGCUUGGACUCCAAAGUGUGCGCUUAUCCGGAUGUGGAUGUGGGGGCAGCCGGGGACAGGGCUGGGUGUGCGUGACUCGGGUGUGCCGGGACCCACAGAGCAUAUGUGUCCAUGCCUGGUGCUGUGACUCAUGUCCCUGGGGUGGGCACGCGUGCUGUGUCAGCGGGAGCCGCGCCUCCCAGGGCAGCCCAGAGUUCCAGAAGCCCAGAAGAGGAAGGGUUAAACCUGCCUCUUCCCCCAGCUCCCAGCUGAGUCCAGGGCUGGGAUCUCAGGUCCCCUGGGAGGCCCCGCGCGCCCCCCCCCGCCACCCCGCCCCACCCCCGGGCCUGAGAUUCAGGGGCUGCUACACAGGAAAGCCGGACUGAGCUGCUCCCCAGCCUCAGUUUCCCUCCUGUUCCUCGGAUGCGUUCGCAGGGUGGGUCGGCUUCCCUUCCCUGUGACUCACCCCCUCCCCACAGGCCUGAGUCACAGCUCAGGAAUGUGGAGGCUGGGAGGCCCUGUCUACUCCUGCCCCGGCCAGGCCAUCCCAGCAGCCCAAAGGCCAGGCCUGGGCCACAGAGGGACAUCCCCGGCACACACACCCCGCCACAGGCCACACACAGGUGCACACCCACACCCCUGCUUCGUACCCACUGGACACAAAGUCAUACACCAUGCACUCGGCAUCCGGAGACCCUGCCUGCCACAGGCACACGCAGUAGACAGGCUGGGGACAGGACGGACCCCGACCUGCCCUGGGGUCACACACCUGUUUGCUCUUUCAGUACACAGGAUACUGCAGAGACAUAGGUGACCCCUUCUGCUGGGGCGCAGACCAGCCAAGCACAUGUGGCGGACGUGUAGUGACGUGCACCCAUGCGUGUCUGUGACGUGCAGAUCAGGUGUCUGUGAAAGGCCCAAGACCCUGCAUGGCCCACGGACACCCUAAAGCUGACCGAGGCUUAGGCUCGCCUGCGUGGACGCUGGGGAUGCAGCCACCUAGUUUCUGAAACUGGGAAAAGGUCUGGGGGCUCCGGAGCCCCCACCUCCAUGCAGCCUCAGAUGUUGCUUAGCAACAGAUGCGCGCUCUGGGGUAGGCGGAUGGAUCUCCACCUGGGCCCAGUUCCCUCUCAUGGGACUACACGUCCUGUGCCUAACAGAGAGGUCAAAGAGUGGGGAUUUCCUGCAAAGCCAACCAGGCUCAGGGUGGCCCUGCCUAGGGUGGGAGGUAUCUCCAUGGCAACAGUGGAGUGGGACAAGUGGAGAGUAUUUCCCCACUCUCCCAGGCAGCUGCAGGGGCUCAGGACCUACGGAGUGCAAGUGAAGACACCUAUGUUGCAUCUUGCUGGAGAGGCACCUGGCACCUGCCCGCCCCAGCGUGCCUGGAGGGUUCCCACAUCCAGACGGACAGACGGGCCAGGGGACACCCGUCCAGGCAGCCAUGGCUGCUCAGCCACAGUCCCUGGAGGGUCAGGGGCCCAGCUGUGAGGCAGGCGGUGCCCAAGACGCUCUCUGGACCGCACUGCUUCAUCUGAGAGAAAGACUUUUGGAAGGCAUAGGUUGGGGCUCGCCUGGGAACCCCUCUCCAUCCCCCACCCAGACUCCAGCAGGCUGGAGUCAAGCUUGGCUGGGCAGCGGAGGAUCACUGGUGCACAGAGGGGUGAGUGGCUCCGCGUCUCCCCAAGCACCGCUCACCUGUGAGAUCACCGCCUGGCAGGGACGCCAGCACGGGCUCCCAGCCACAGGGCAGCUCCCACCCUGCGAACUCCAGCUCUUCCCAGGCCGCUCCAGAGGCCAGGCUGCACAAACACCUUGGCUAGUCUCCCCACCUGGCACAGGCCCUGUUCACUCCAACCACUGCCUUCUCUGAGCACACACCAAGUUGGAGCCCACAGCCAAGCAGCGGGCGGCCACGGGGGAUUCCUGCCUCCUGAGUCCUCAACUCUCUUGGCCCGGAGCUCACACCGGCAUUUCAGAUUUUCUCCUUCCCCCUGUUACCCCCGCCUUGCCAACCACCUCCCUGUGGACCUAAAGCCACCACCUUC